rnacentral:rRNA from 1 species
UCCUGAUCCAGCCAUGCCGCGUGCAGGAAGACUGCCCUAUGGGUUGUAAACUGCUUUUAUACAGGAAGAAAAAGGUGUACGUGUACACUGUUGACGGUACUGUAAGAAUAAGGAUCGGCUAACUCCGUGCCAGCAGCCGCGGUAAUACGGAGGAUCCAAGCGUUAUCCGGAAUCAUUGGGUUUAAAGGGUCCGUAGGCGGGAUGAUAAGUCAGUGGUGAAAGUCUGCAGCUCAACUGUAGAAUUGCCAUUGAUACUGUUGUUCUUGAGUUAUUGUGAAGUGGUUAGAAUGAGUAGUGUAGCGGUGAAAUGCAUAGAUAUUACUCAGAAUACCGAUUGCGAAGGCAGAUCACUAACAAUGAACUGACGCUGAUGGACGAAAGCGUAGGUAGCGAACAGGAUUAGAUACCCUGGUAGUCUACGCCGUAAACGAUGGUUACUAGCUGUUCGGGYWAAUUGAKACCUGAGUGGCUAAGCGAAAGUGAUAAGUAACCCACCUGGGGAGUACGUUCGCAAGAAUGAAACUCAAAUGAA